GCAAGUAGCCUUUGGGGUUGUUCCCUUUAUCAGUGUUCUGUCUUCCCCAUUCGUAUCCGCUGGGGGUCAGUUUAGAAGUAGUAAAUGUAGAGGAACCUGGG